AUACGGAGGGUGCAAGCGUUAAUCGGAAUUACUGGGCGUAAAGGGCGCGUAGGUGGUUAGGUCAGUCGGAUGUGAAAGCCCCGGGCUCAACCUGGGAAUGCCAUUCGAUACUGCCUAACUAGAGUAUGGUAGAGGGAAGCGGAAUUCCGGGUGUAGCGGUGAAAUGCGUAGAUAUCCGGAGGAACACCAGUGGCGAAGGCGGCUUCCUGGAUCAAUACUGACACUGAGGCGCGAAAGCGUGGGGAGCAAACAGGAUUAGAUACCCCAGUAGUCC
rnacentral:rRNA from 1 species